rnacentral:rRNA from 1 species
AUUGAACGCUGGCGGCAGGCCUAACACAUGCAAGUCGAACGAGUGGCGGACGGGUGAGUAAUGUCUGGGAAACUGCCCGAUGGAGGGGGAUAACUACUGGAAACGGUAGCUAAUACCGCAUACCAUCGGAUGUGCCCAGAUGGGAUUAGCUAGUAGGGGGGGUAAAGGCUCACCUAGGCGACGAUCCCUAGCUGGUCUGAGAGGAUGACCAGCCACACGGGAACGGAGAUACGGUCCAGACUCGGACGGGAGGCACGAGUGGGGAAUAUUGCACAAGGGGCGCAAGCCUGAUGCAGCCAUGCGGCGUGUAUGAAGAAGGCCUUCGGGUUGUAAAGUACUUUCAGCGGGGAGGCGUUACCCGCAGAAGAAGCACCGGCUAACUCCGUGCCAGCCGCCGCGGUAAUUC